AAAUCAAGCAGAGGACAGCAGCCGGCGCCGGGGUGACUCCUCCGCGGGCAUCAAGCCGUCGCUUAAGAUCAAGCCCAUCGUAUUAUGUUUAUGUAUAUAUUUUUGUCGAUGUGGAGUGCGCCGAACGCGCAUACGAACAGCCCCCCUAAUCCCGUCUUGCAACACUUCACCCCUGCCCUGUGUGGCAGGGAGCUUCGUUCCGGGCAGUGGGGUUUGCCCCGAGGCCCGUUCCGUGCCCCCGAAAGGGGGUACGACGACCCUUCUUCUUCUUCUUCUUGUGGUACCUGUUUCUCAUACCAUGUUCAACAACAGGCACUGGGUAUUCCAACAAGAUUCGGCGCCAGUUCAUAGAGCGAAGAGCACACAAGACUGGCUGGCGGCGCGUGAAAUCGACUUCAUCCGGCACGAAGACUGGACCUCCUCCAGUCCAGAUUUGAAUCCGUUAGAUUACAAGAUAUAGCAACACUUGGAGGAAAAGGCGUGCUCAAAGCCUCAUCCCAAUUUGGAGUCACUCAAGACAUCCUUGAUUAAGGCAGCCGCCGAUAUUGACAUGGACCUCGUUCGUGCUGCGAUAGACGACUGGCCGCGCAGAUUGAAGGCCUGUAUUAAAAAUCACGGAGGUCAUUUUGAAUAAACUUUAGUGUCAUAAGAAUUUAUGUUUUAUUAAGUUCAUUUUGGUAUAUGAAUGGUUACAUAAUGAAUAAACUUGUUUCAAUUAUUUUACAUUAAACAUGUGACAGAAUUUAUGACCUGACUAUGUAGAUUGUUCAACUCAUUGUCAACAUACUCGCGUGACGUAUAAAUUUGUUUACUUCUUGUCUGGAAGUUAAUUAUUUAUAUAUUAUGAUGUUAAUCAUAAAUAUGUAUAUUAGUAUAAUUUAUACUGUUUUUACAGCUUAAUAUAGUGUUUUUUUAUUGUCAUCACGACAACUUUAUUCGAAAAGUCAGAAAUAAUAUUGAUCUUGAGUUAUGAAAUUGCCGUGUUUAUAAUUUUGGUAUUAAUACAGAAACAUGUUUUCCGAAGUUCGGUCUAUUAUUUCUUAGUUUGCAGUAUUCAUUUUUUUCCCUACCUAUGCUGAUAGCCUUGAGGCUAUUUCAGCUGCUCCUUGACGUGUAGCUACCCGAACGCCUCCGAAGGAGACCUAACAGCUCAAGAGUAGCUGCUUCGCGAAUGAAUCUACUACUGGAUCUGAAUCGCGACCCGCUGAGAAGAUCCGGCGAGAAACUCAGCGAGCUGAUUCAUGGGUUAGGUUGCACGGCGAACUCUUUGUCGAGUUCGACGAGUACGGUUACCGAGGUCCCUAAGCCGGCUCCUAGUGUUAGAGCUGAAGGCGUCUAAUGCAAAGGUUAUUGGAUCUGAUGGAUCCGUAAGGACGUGUCUAGGGCGUCGACGGUGACUGGCUCCUGCAUGAUCAGGAUUCGGGGAGUAGUCAGCGGCGGCAACGAUAAGGCGAUUAUCAUGACGCAUAGCCUUAUCGAAGUACCGUUCCGACGCGGACUUCAUGUAUUUCCGAAUUGAUUCGAGGCCCAGGUCAUCGUGUAGGUCAACGUUCCUCACGAACCACGGAGCUCCGACGGCUAACCUGCAAAAGCGGGAUUGUAGAGGUUGGAGGGUGUCUAUGUGUGUGCGGGCCGCGUGAGCGAACACCACACUCGCGUAAGUCAUGACGGGCCUUAUGCAAGUUUUGUAAAGUGUCACCUUGUUCCGAAGGGACAUUUUACUCCGCUUACAGAUCAUGGGGUAGAGUCUACCGAGAAUAAACGCGGCACGGUCACGGACUGAUUUUAUAUGCGGGCGGAAUGUCAUCGAUGCAUCCAGGGUAACGCCCAGGUACUUGACCUUCCUGGCCCAGGGUAUGGGUUGUCUAAAGAGAGUAAUCGGGGGUGUGAGAUUGCUCCUCCUAAUCCGGGAGGAAAUCCGUGUGGAGCUUCCCCUCUGAAAUAGCACCGCAGUACUUUUCGCUGGGUUGAUGUCUAUGCGCCAUUUUCGGGACCACUGUCCUAGGGCUAGGGCUGCGCUCUGAAGCUUCUUCGCGAUUAGGGACUUGUUUCUACUGGAAUAGUAAACAGUCGUGUCGUCGGCGAAUAAAGCUAAAUGGGUCGGCGUAAUGACGUGUGUAAACCUGUGUGUAGUAUAGACUUGUGACGAUGUCGACUGUUUACUAUUCGGUCCACAGGAUCGGGUAUGCAGUAUUCAUAUUGGUAUUAGUAAGCGACAUGACAUAUGCUACGUCAAUAUUAACAAUAUGAUAGCUACUCUUGCGUGUUCAAAAUGGCGUCUUAGCAUGAUCUUAAUUAAGAAACAUUUAGUUUUUGUAUGAACAUUUAAGUUAGUUAAUUUCAUGACAAUUUUACAGAAAAAAUAUAAAAAAAUAAUAAUAUCCAGACUUCAAUAAUAAAUUUAAUAAAUGCAACUUAGUAAACACCAGUACAAGAUUGAACUUUUAAUAUAUUUCUUAUAGAAAUAACAAGGUAUAUAAUUUUAAUAAAACCAAGCAAAUGUAAUAAAAGAUUAACUGAAAAAUAUCCAUUCUAAAUAUUAAAAAUGUAAAGGAGAGUUUAUUUAAUACGCUUUUACACUAUAAUAUACUAAAUUUUGAAAACAUAGUUUCAGGAGUACAAAGUGGAUAUAUUAUUAUAGUAUUUGCAAAAUUUAAUAUAGAAAAAACUCUUUUAUCAUUCACAUGUUUAAAAGCAAAUAAAACAACAAUUAAAAUAUCCAGACUAGUAUUAAUAUACUAGAAUGGAUUACGAUUAAAACAACAAUAAUUUUAGUUGGAAUUUGUUUUAAAUUAACAACGUCUAUUUACACGGAGUUUCAACGAAAAUAAAUGUAAUUUCCUCCAGCUCUCUCGAUCUGUUUGCACACAACAGAUACAAAUCUGUUCAGUACGAAACGGGACCAAAGCAAUCAAAUUUUAAGAAAUCCCAACAAAUCACCUAUUUGGUUUACGAAACUUAAGCCUCAUUGGAACUAUUUUGAGUCGGCGAAGCGGUGUUAAUCUUCUUGGUUGAAUCGAAUCAUCCAUUCAAGAUACAGUGUCUUGUAAAUUGUUUUUAUAAUUGAUCUGCAAUAGACUGGUGGUAGGACCUCUUGUGAGUCCGCGCGGGUGGGUACCACCACCCUGCCUAUUUCUGCCGUGAAGCAGUGAUGCGUUUCGGUUUGAAGGGUAAGGUAACCGUUGUAACUAUACUUGAGACCUUAGAACUUAUAUCUUAAGAUGGGUGGCGCAUUUGCGUUGUGGAUGUCUAUGGGCUCCAGUAACCACUU